UACAGAUAGCGGUGUACAUAUAGC
rnacentral:siRNA from 1 species